AUUGAACGCUGGCGGCAGGCCUAACACAUGCAAGUCGAGCGGAUGAAGCGAGCUUGCUCCUGGAUUCAGCGGCGGACGGGGGAAUAAUGCCUAGGAAUCUGCCUGGUAGUGGGGGAUAACGUCCGGAAACGGGCGCUGAUACCGCAUACGUCCAGUGGGCGAAAGUGGGGGAUCUUCGGACCUCACGCUAUCAGAUGAGCCUAGGUCGGAUUAGCUAGGUGGUGGGGUAACGGCCUACGGAGGCGACGAACCGUAACUGGUCUGAGAGGAUGAUCCGUCACACGGGAAGUGAGACAGGCCCCACACUCUUACGGUAGGCAGCAGCGGGGAAUAUUGGGCAAGGCGGCAAUGCCUGAUCCAGCCCAGCCGGCUGUGUGAUGAAGGUUUCCGGAUUGUUAAGUACUUUAAGUUGUGAGAAAGUGCAGUUAUUUAAUACCUUGCUGUUUUGACGGUACCAACAGAAUAAGCCCCGGCUAACUUCGUG
rnacentral:rRNA from 1 species